GACGAACGCUGGCGGCGUGCUUAACACAUGCAAGUCGAACGGAAAGGCCCUGCUUUUGUGGGGUUCUCGAGUGGCGAACGGGGGAGUAACACGUGAGUAACCUGCCCUUGACUUUGGGAUAACUUCAGGAAACUGGGGCUAAUACCGGAUAGGAGCUCCUGCUGCAUGGUGGGGGUUGGAAAGUUUCGGCGGUUGGGGCUGGACUCGCGGCUUAUCAGCUUGUUGGUGGAGUAGUGGCUUACCAAGGCUUUGACGGGUAGCCGGCCUGAGAGGGUGACCGGCCACAUUGGGACUGAGAUACGGCCCAGACUCCUACGGGAGGCAGCAGUGGGGAAUAUUGCACAAUGGGCGGAAGCCUGAUGCAGCAACGCCGCGUGCGGGAUGACGGCCUUCGGGUUGUAAACCGCUUUCGCCUGUGACGAAGCGUGAGUGACGGUAAUGGGUAAAGAAGCACCGGCUAACUACGUG
rnacentral:rRNA from 1 species